UAGCUGGUCUGAGAGGAUGAUCAGCCACACUGGAACUGAGACACGGUCCAGACUCCUACGGGAGGCAGCAGUGGGGAAUAUUGCACAAUGGAGGAAACUCUGAUGCAGCAACGCCGCGUGGAGGAUGACGCAUUUCGGUGUGUAAACUCCUUUUAUAUGGGAAGAUAAUGACGGUACCAUAUGAAUAAGCACCGGCUAACUCCGUGCCAGCAGCCGCGGUAAUACGGAGGGUGCAAGCGUUACUCGGAAUCACUGGGCGUAAAGCGCGCGCAGGCGGCCUUUUAAGUUGGAUGUGAAAGCCUACGGCUCAACCGUAGAACUGCAUCCAAAACUAUCAGGCUAGAGUGUGGGAGAGGAAGAUGGAAUUAGUUGUGUAGGGGUAAAAUCCGUAGAGAUAACUAGGAAUACCAAAAGCGAAGGCAAUCUUCUGGAACAUUACUGACGCUGAGGCGCGAAAGCGUGGGGAGCAAACAGGAUUAGAUACCCUGGUAGUCCACGCCCUAAACGAUGAAUGUUAGUCGUCGGGUAGCUAGUCUAUUCGGUGAUGCAGCUAACGCAUUAAACAUUCCGCCUGGGGAGUACGGUCGCAAGAUUAAAACUCAAAGGAAUAGACGGGGACCCGCACAAGUGGUGGAGCAUGUGGUUUAAUUCGAUACGCGAAGAACCUUACCUAGCCUUGACAUAUAUUAGAACACCCUAGAGAUAGAGUGGUGCCUUCGGGAGCUUUUAUACAGGUGCUGCACGGCUGUCGUCAGCUCGUGUCGUGAGAUGUUGGGUUAAGUCCCGCAACGAGCGCAACCCUCGUCACUAGUUACUAACGGUUCGGCCGAGGACUCUAGUGAGACUGCCUUCGUAAGGAGGAGGAAGGUGAGGACGACGUCAAGUCAUCAUGGCCCUUACGGCUAGGGCAACACACGUGCUACAAUGGCCAGGACAGUGAGACGCGAUACCGCGAGGUGGAGCAAAUCUAUAAACCUGGUCUCAGUUCGGAUUGUAGUCUGCAACUCGACUACAUGAAGCUGGAAUCACUAGUAAUCGUAGAUCAGCUAUGCUACGGUGAAUACGUUCCCGGGUCUUGUACUCACCGCCCGUCACACCAUGGGAGUUGAUUUCACCCGAAGCGGGGAAGCUAAACUGGCUACCCUCCACGGUGGAAUCAGCGACUGGGGUGAAGUCGUAACAAGGUAACCGUAGGAGAACCUGCGGUUG
rnacentral:rRNA from 1 species